UACAGGGGGGGCAAGCGUUGUUCGGAAUUACUGGGCGUAAAGGGUUCGUAGGUGGCCAACUAAGUCAGACGUGAAAUCCCUCAGCCUAACUGGGGAACUGCGUCUGAUACUGGAUGGCUUGAGUGUAGGAGAGGAAUGCGGAAUUCCAGGUGUAGCGGUGAAAUGCGUAGAUAUCUGGAGGAACACCGGUGGCGAAGGCGGCAUUCUGGACUACAACUGACACUGAGGAACGAAAGCCAGGGGAGCAAACGGG
rnacentral:rRNA from 1 species